rnacentral:rRNA from 1 species
UGUCUGGCGGCUGUAGCGCGGUGGCCCCACCUGACCCCAUGCCGAACUCAGAAGUGAAACGCCGUAGCGCCGAUGGUAGUGUGGGGCCUCCCCAUGCGAGAGUAGGGAACUGCCAGACAU